UACGAAGGGGGCUAGCGUUGCUCGGAUUGACUGGGCGUAAAGGGCGCGUAGGCGGAUAGUACAGUCAGGCGUGAAAUUCCUGGGCUCAACCUGGGGGCUGCGUUUGAUACGUAUUGUCUGGAGUUCGGAAGAGGGUCGUGGAAUUCCCAGUGUAGAGGUGAGAUUCGUAGAUAUUGGGAAGAACACCAGUGGCGAAGGCGGCUCACUGGCCCGGUACUGACGCUCAGGUGCGAAAGCGUGGGGAGCAAACAGG
rnacentral:rRNA from 1 species